UGAUAGUUUGCUAGGGAAGAAAGGCUCCUUUAAAAUGAGUAUGCGAUCCCAAAAGAAAUUGCUUCAAUCAGCAGCCCUGCUUAAUGGAUGUUAAUGGGAAGUGGAGAUAGGAUAGACUACUACAUCUCCACUGACACCAGCUCAGAAACGAACUCUCUGAUGCCAUGAGAGCCCAGACAUACCAUCUCUGUCGCCAUGGCAGCUCAGAUAACAUCACAGGCCAGGGUGGGGCGCUCGAAUACCACCUGUUGAGACCUGUAACUUCGCUUACAGUAUUAUCCUGUGAUUGCGUCCUGUACUGUCUUUGGAUUUGCUUUGUUCCUUUAUAAAACUCUUUUGAUUGA